UACGUAGGGUCCGAGCGUUGUCCGGAAUUACUGGGCGUAAAGAGCUCGUAGGUGGUUUGUCGCGUUGUCCGUGAAAACUCACAGCUUAACUGUGGGAGUGUCGUGCGAUACGGGCGAACUGGAGGCCAGUAGGGGGAUGCGGAAUUCCGGGUGUAGUGGUGGAAUGCGUAGAGAUCCGGAGGAACACCAGCGGCGAAGGCGGCAUCCUGGACUGGUCCUGACACUCAGGAGCGAAAGCGUGGGGAGCGAGCCGG
rnacentral:rRNA from 1 species